rnacentral:rRNA from 1 species
AGUGGGGGAUAUUGCGCAAUGGGGGAAACCCUGACGCAGCGACGCCGCGUGAGCGAAGAAGGCCUUCGGGUUGUAAAGCUCAGUCAUCGGGGACGAAGAGGACGGUACCCGAGGAGGAAGCCCCGGCUAACUACGUGCCAGCAGCCGCGGUAAUACGUAGGGGGCGAGCGUUGUCCGGAAUUACUGGGUGUAAAGGGCGUGUAGGCGGGUAUGCAAGUUAUCGGUAAAAACCCGGGGCUCAACCCCGGGCUUGCCGAUAAAACUGCAUAUCUUGAGUGCAGGAGAGGGGAGUGGAAUUCCCGGUGUAGCGGUAAAAUGCGUAGAUAUCGGGAGGAACACCGGUGGCGAAGGCGGCUCUCUGGGCCGAUCCUGACGCUGAGGCGCGAAAGCUAGGGGAGCGAACCGGAUUAGAUACCCGGGUAGUCCUAGCCGUAAACGAUGGGUGCUAGGUGUUGGGGGGUAAAGACCCUUCAGUGCCGAAGCCAACGCGAUAAGCAUCCCACCUGGGGAGUACGGCCGCAAGGUUGAAACUCAAAGGAAUUGGCGGGGGUCCGCACAAGCGGCGGAGCAUGUGGUUUAAUUCGAUGCUGCCCGAAGAACCUUACCAGGGUUUGACAUGCUGGUGGUAGGAACCUGAAAGGGGGACGACCCAACCGUAAGGGAGGGAGCCAGCACAGGUGUUGCAUGGCUGUCGUCAGCUCGUGCCGUGAGGUGUCGGCUUAAGUGCCGUAACGAGCGCAACCCUCAUCCCUAAUUGCUCCUGACAGGUAAAAGGGUCAGAGCACAAUAGGGAGACCGCUGGCGAAGAGCCAGAGGAAGGGGAGGAUGACGUCAAGUCAGCAUGGCCUUUAUGCCCUGGGCUACACACAUGCUACAAUGCAGGGUACAACGGGAAGCGAAGCCGCGAGGUGGAGCAAAUCCCCAAAAGCCCUGCUCAGUUCGGAUCGCACGCUGCAAUUCGCGUGCGUGAAGUCGGAGUCGCUAGUAACCGUGGAUCAGCAAAGCCGCGGUGAAUACGUUCUCGGGCCUUGCACACACCGCCCGUCAAGCCACCCGAGUCGGGUUCACCAGAAGGCCGGUAACCGAAGAGGGCCGGACGACGGUGUGCCUGGUAAGGAGGGCU